GCCGGGGUCGAAACCAAGAGGCGAUGUAACGAGCAUUUAUUGAUCCAUUUGUUGACGAUGAAACCUUGUCCUAUGGGAUCAGAGGUGGUAAUACGUGUGACCGGAGGGUCAUGUGUAUAUCUUGGUUGCGGGAACCGGGUGAGGCACGGAAGUGAGCAGCCUUACCGCAGACUGCUGGUGCUCAAAGGGUUAACGGGGUCAAGAAUGCAGAUGGGGAAUCAUUAGGUGAAACGUGCACCCACUCAAGGACUUUCUACGC
rfam:Thermoplasmatales archaeon SG8-52-1 WOR_8-12_3375, whole genome shotgun sequence.